rnacentral:rRNA from 1 species
GGCGAACGCUGGCGGCGUGCUUAACACAUGCAAGUCGAACGGAAAGGCUCCAGCUUGCUGGAGUACUCGAGUGGCGAACGGGUGAGUAACACGUGGGUAAUCUGCCCUGCACUCUGGGAUAAGCCUGGGAAACUGGGUCUAAUACUGGAUAUGACCUUUCUCCUUAUGGGGUUUGGUGGAAAGUUUUUCGGUGUAGGAUGAGCCCGCGGCCUAUCAGCUUGUUUGUGGGGUGAUGGCCUACCAAGGCGACGACGGGUAGCCGGCCUGAGAGGGUGAUCGGCCACAUUGGGACUGAGAUACGGCCCAGACUCCUACGGGAGGCAGCAGUGGGGAAUAUUGCACAAUGGGCGGAAGCCUGAUGCAGCGACGCCGCGUGAGGGAUGACGGCCUUCGGGUUGUAAACCUCUUUCAGCAGGGACGAAGCGUAAGUGACGGUACCUGCAGAAGAAGCACCGGCUAACUAUGUG